CCUACGGGAGGCAGCAGUGGGGAAUCUCGCGCAAUGGGCGAAAGCCUGACGCAGCCAUGCCGCGUGAAUGAUGAAGGUCUUAGGAUUGUAAAAUUCUUUCACCGGGGACGAUAAUGACGGUACCCGGAGAAGAAGCCCCGGCUAACUUCGUGCCAGCAGCCGCGGUAAUACGAAGGGGGCUAGCGUUGCUCGGAAUUACUGGGCGUAAAGGGAGCGUAGGCGGACAUUUAAGUCAGGGGUGAAAUCCCGGGGCUCAACCUCGGAAUUGCCUUUGAUACUGGGUGUCUUGAGUAUGAGAGAGGUGUGUGGAACUCCGAGUGUAGAGGUGAAAUUCGUAGAUAUUCGGAAGAACACCAGUGGCGAAGGCGACACACUGGCUCAUUACUGACGCUGAGGCUCGAAAGCGUGGGGAGCAAACAGGAUUAGAUACCCUGGUAGUCCACGCCGUAAACGAUGAUUGCUAGUUGUCGGGAUGCAUGCAUUUCGGUGACGCAGCUAACGCAUUAAGCAAUCCGCCUGGGGAGUACGGUCGCAAGNUUAAAACUUAAAGAGUAGUAGCGNGNGAGAGCGACGAGACGACGAGGAGGAG
rnacentral:rRNA from 1 species